rnacentral:rRNA from 1 species
GUUGGUGAGGUAAUGGCUCACCAAGGCGACGAUCCCUAGCUGGUCUGAGAGGAUGACCAGCCACACUGGAACUGAGACACGGUCCAGACUCCUACGGGAGGCAGCAGUGGGGAAUAUUGCACAAUGGGCGCAAGCCUGAUGCAGCCAUGCCGCGUGUAUGAAGAAGGCCUUCGGGUUGUAAAGUACUUUCAGCGGGGAGGAAGGUGUUGCGGUUAAUAACCGCAGCAAUUGACGUUACCCGCAGAAGAAGCACCGGCUAACUCCGUGCCAGCAGCCGCGGUAAUACGGAGGGUGCAAGCGUUAAUCGGAAUUACUGGGCGUAAAGCGCACGCAGGCGGUCUGUCAAGUCGGAUGUGAAAUCCCCGGGCUCAACCUGGGAACUGCAUUCGAAACUGGCAGGCUUGAGUCUUGUAGAGGGGGGUAGAAUUCCAGGUGUAGCGGUGAAAUGCGUAGAGAUCUGGAGGAAUACCGGUGGCGAAGGCGGCCCCCUGGACAAAGACUGACGCUCAGGUGCGAAAGCGUGGGGAGCAAACAGGAUUAGAUACCCUGGUAGUCCACGCCGUAAACGAUGUCUACUUGGAGGUUGUGCCCUUGAGGCGUGGCUUCCGGAGCUAACGCGUUAAGUAGACCGCCUGGGGAGUACGGCCGCAAGGUUAAAACUCAAAUGAAUUGACGGGGGCCCGCACAAGCGGUGGAGCAUGUGGUUUAAUUCGAUGCAACGCGAAGAACCUUACCUGGUCUUGACAUCCACAGAACUUUCCAGAGAUGGAUUGGUGCCUUCGGGAACUGUGAGACAGGUGCUGCAUGGCUGUCGUCAGCUCGUGUUGUGAAAUGUUGGGUUAAGUCCCGCAACGAGCGCAACCCUUAUCCUUUGUUGCCAGCGGUUAGGCCGGGAACUCAAAGGAGACUGCCAGUGAUAAACUGGAGGAAGGUGGGGAUGACGUCAAGUCAUCAUGGCCCUUACGACCAGGGCUACACACGUGCUACAAUGGCGCAUACAAAGAGAAGCGACCUCGCGAGAGCAAGCGGACCUCAUAAAGUGCGUCGUAGUCCGGAUUGGAGUCUGCAACUCGACUCCAUGAAGUCGGAAUCGCUAGUAAUCGUGGAUCAGAAUGCCACGGUGAAUACGUUCCCGGGCCUUGUACACACCGCCCGUCACACCAUGGGAGUGGGUUGCAAAAGAAGUAGGUAGCUUAACCUUCGGGAGGGCGCUUACCACUUUGUGAUUCAUGACUGGGGUGAAGUCGUAACAAGGUAACCGUAGGGGAACCUGCGGUUGGAUCACCUCCUUACCUUAAAGAA